rnacentral:rRNA from 1 species
CCUACGGGAGGCUGCAGUGGGGAAUAUUGGACAAUGGGCGAAAGCCUGAUCCAGCCAUGCCGCGUGUGUGAAGAAGGCCUUCGGGUGGUAAAGCACUUUCAGUGGGGAAGAAAGCCUUGGGGCUAAUACCCUCGAGGAAGGACAUCACCCACAGAAGAAGCACCGGCUAACUCCGUGCCAGCAGCCGCGGUAAUACGGAGGGUGCGAGCGUUAAUCGGAAUUACUGGGCGUAAAGCGCGCGUAGGCGGUCUGAUAAGCCGGUUGUGAAAGCCCCGGGCUCAACCUGGGAACGGCAUCCGGAACUGUCAGGCUAGAGUGCAGGAGAGGAAGGUAGAAUUCCCGGUGUAGCGGUGAAAUGCGUAGAGAUCGGGAGGAAUACCAGUGGCGAAGGCGGCCUUCUGGACUGACACUGACGCUGAGGUGCGAAAGCGUGGGUAGCAAACAGGAUUAGAUACCCGAGUAGUC